rnacentral:lncRNA from 1 species
GGUGAAGCAGGGAUUUGGGAGUGUUCAAGUGAAGAAGAGGAAGAGAUUUGUGUGUUUUGAGGUAAAUUGGAUACGUUUGGUGUUUGUGUCUGUGUUAAGGUUGUCGUGUUAGUGUUCAAUAAGGUUGCUGCUUGUGACGAUGGGUCUAUUACUGUAUUCUGAGAAGGGAGAGGUUUAGGCGAAGCGGCUGCAUUUUCUGCCAUGGAUUGGAAAAAGAUUAUGG